AAAGAGCUAAGUUGUGACUCUUGGCUUAAAAUUGUGUAAUAAUGGUGAAUGUUGAUUUUGAAUUACUUUACUACCUGAAGAUCAUUUUCAAAGUGACUGUUUCUUCUUAAGAAAGGAGCGUGCCUUUGGAGGAAGGAAGUGGAGGAAAAAACAGGCUUGGAAGGAACCCUAAAAUAUUCAGGAGGGAGCUGGAAGCCUGAACAGCAUAGCUGAAAGAAAGAAAUGAAAGGAAGUAGAAGUGGGGGCGAAAAGACAAGCUUGUCAGGACCACAGCUACCCUCAUCUGAUGUUAAGACUGCAGUUCCUCACCUCAGAAGAAGGGACGGUUGCAUCACAGGGCUUUGUAGGAGCUGAGGAUGACACUGGAGAGGACAAGAAGGACCGAGUGUUUGUAUAAGUGCAAAAUAAGAGCAAAAUAAGGGCGAUGGAGAGCAGGAAACUCGCAGAGGCUGGACGGCUUCAUUCUCCCUUGGAACAAGGACACCCUUGGUCUGCCCAGCCCCAGAUGCACCUCUAAAGGAGAGGUUGUCAAAGGAUGUCUUAGAAGUGUAACAGUCGUUGCCUGCAGAGAUGCAGGCAGUAAGUGGAAGUAUAACAUCUAUGACUGCACAAUGUCCAUGAACAGAUGUCUCUCAAGUCACCUCAGUCCAUUGUGCAGCCUAAAUACUCGGGCCUCUGGUUGGACAGCAGGGUUAUGUUUGGUCAACGAAGUUGCCGAAUGCUUCAAAAAACAUUAGCAUCGGCUCCUCUGAGGAAUUACUUUGGUCCUGGUGCCACGGUGGUGCUUUACUCAUUGACUAAUUUCAGGAUCAAAGGCCACCAACAGAGCAGGGAUCUCAGAAGAAGACCUGAAGUACAAUUUAACAUUAGUCCUGCAGGCUCAGAGGACAGCCAGAAGGUAAAUUCUGAAAUACAAAUAUCAAGAGUUUAUAGAUAUUGUUCUGAAGAAUAUCUAUAAUAAUAUCUAUAGGUGUUAUUCUAACAUUCAAAAGGUCCCACUGUGCCUUGGUAUUGCUCUCACAUGAACAUUUAAAGUCAAUUCUCGAAUCCCCAGUUUUUUCACCACUCAUAAUUUUUUCUUCAUUACACAAUAAUUCCCUCUUCCAUACUAAUUCUCUCUCUCCCUUAGUCUAUUAAUCAUCAUAUUCCCAAAUCCCUACAGUAUAUGUGUUGUCCCAGUCCUCCCAUCUACCAUUCUCAUCCUUUUCCACUCCUCCAUUGUUUGUCUUCAUUCUCUAGUUAAUUCAGGAGAUGGGUAGCUGCGUGAAACAUUUGGGUUAGCUAACCCAGGCACGGGAAUCCCUAAAAGAAAACCACGGCUCUAUAACUGCUUCUAUUUCAGUAAUUCUUCUUACACAUCUGUGAAGGUAUAUUACAUACUUAUAUGUGUUAAUGCACCAGGAUUCAUCCUUAUACAACAGUGGAAAAACUAUCCCACGCGUGUGGAGCGUGGAGAGGGGACUUUGGGGAAGGUUACAACAGGCAUUUUGCUUUACCUCUCCUGGCAUGUUCUUUUAUUUAGCCUCAACAAAGCUCUGCGAGGCUUGAAACCAUGCUCUUAGUUAUUUUGAAUGUUUUGAAUGAACAAAGCAGAAAAAAAAAAAAAAGUACCUACUUUUUGCAUGGCUGCAAAGGGAACAGAAGGCAAGAAUUAGAUCUGUCAGCACCCAGAAAGGCUAAAGUACAGAGGGAUUUAUUGGCCGUUUGUAUAAACAGUGUCAGAGCACAACUUCAUCCUGGAGAGAUCCUGUCCCUAUUGCUCCUAAGUUUUUCUUCCCCCUUUUUUUAGAUCCUCUUCUUCAGCAUCUUUUCUUACUUUCCAAAUCCCUUCUUUUUAAAGACCACUCUUACACCCGUGCUUUUUUCCCCCCCCAUGUGCUUAUAUCUGCUUUGCUCAGGAGUAAAUCCUGUGGCUUCUCCUAUUUUCCAGCUGUUCAGUGCUUUUCAUGCUACCUCCCUCUAGACUGCGUUAUUUAAGAGAGCACCGGGAAGACACUUAGGAACUGAGGAAAGGAAAGGCAGUGAACAGCUUGAAGCGGUAAGCAGUGAAGAGAGUUUCAACAGCCAAGAAAGUAAAAUUGUGAGACAGAGGACAGAAUACUUAAAGAUGAAGCAGCUCAUCUUCAGUCCUUUUCCCAGCAACAUUUGCUUCCUACAGCUGAGUUUGGAUCGCACUAACAGUAACGUCUCUCCAAAUUAUUUCAGAAUAGCCCAACAUCCUAACGAGAAGGAGUAUUUCCAGUUCCUUAUUAGCAUUCCUAAGAAACCUAAGGCAAACCUUGCAGCAAAACCUGGCUCCAUAAAAAUCACAGAAGCAGAUGAUUCUGGCCAGCCUGAGAGAGGGGGGUACGAGUGCUCCUGCCUGCACCCAGCCACUCCAGCCUCAGAGCAUGCAAAUUUGAGUUGUAGAGGAGGACAGAGAUAAGGGAAACGCUGCUCCAAACGUAACACUCCCCAGUUGUAAAUGUUCCCUCUUUCCAUGCUGCUUCAGCGGUUAAAUUUUCAUCUCUCCUCAGACACUGAAAUAUACCCACAAAUUAGAGACUUCUAUACCUCAAAUGAAACUAAUAUAUACAGGGCAACAUUUUUACAAGUGAAACGAAUAGGCAGAGUCUGUGCAAACACUGAUCUCCAGAUAGGAUAACAUCAUAAACACUGGGAAAUAAAAUUAAUGGUUGAAUGAUAACAGUACUAAACUCCCAAGAAUAAUAAUCAGAUAUAGAUGUUUAACUGCCUGUGACUGAGGACUCCUAUCUCUUGUUAUAACUCACCUCCCUACAGAGUACGUGCCUCCUUCUAAAUAUAAUAUUUGAAAUUAUGAUUCAUGUGUACCUGAAUAUGAUAAAAUUUACAGAAAUUAAAGGCUUGAUUCUAAAAAAAAAUGGUAUGACUGGAAAGUAUAUUUUAAUCCUAAAACCAGAGAAGACUCUUUACACCAUUUUUGUUAGCUGUUUUGUC